GAUGAACGCUGGCGGCGUGCCUAAUACAUGCAAGUCGAGCGAACAGAUAAGGAGCUUGCUCCUUUGACGUUAGCGGCGGACGGGUGAGUAACACGUGGGUAACCUACCUAUAAGACUGGGAUAACUUCGGGAAACCGGAGCUAAUACCGGAUAACAUUUGGAACCGCAUGGUUCUAAAGUGAAAGAUGGUUUUGCUAUCACUUAUAGAUGGACCCGCGCCGUAUUAGCUAGUUGGUAAGGUAACGGCUUACCAAGGCGACGAUACGUAGCCGACCUGAGAGGGUGAUCGGCCACACUGGAACUGAGACACGGUCCAGACUCCUACGGGAGGCAGCAGUAGGGAAUAUUCCGCAAUGGGCGAAAGCCUGACGGAGCAACGCCGCGUGAGUGAUGAAGGGUUUCGGCUCGUAAAACUCUGUUAUUAGGGAAGAACAAAUGUGUAAGUAACUGUGCACGUCUUGACGGUACCUAAUCAGAAAGCCACGGCUAACUACGUG
rnacentral:rRNA from 1 species